GUGGGGAAUCUUGCGCAAUGGGCGAAAGCCUGACGCAGCGACGCCGCGUGAGGGAGGAAGGCCUUCGGGUUGUAAACCUCUUUCAGGAGGGACGAAGCUACUCGGGUGAAUAGCCCAGAGGGUGACGGUACCUCCAGAAGAAGCCCCGGCUAACUACGUGCCAGCAGCCGCGGUAAUACGUAGGGGGCAAGCGUUGUCCGGAUUUACUGGGCGUAAAGAGCGUGUAGGCGGCCAUACAGGUCCGUUGUGAAAACUGGAGGCUUAACCUUCAGACGUCGACGGAAACCGUGUGGCUAGAGUCCGGAAGAGGAGAGUGGAAUUCCUGGUGUAGCGGUGAAAUGCGCAGAUAUCAGGAAGAACACCAAUGGCGAAGGCAGCUCUCUGGGACGGUACUGACGCUGAGACGCGAAAGCGUGGGGAGCGAACAGGAUUAGAAACCCUAGUAGUCC
rnacentral:rRNA from 1 species